AUUGAACGCUGGCGGCAUGCUUUACACAUGCAAGUCGAACGGCAGCGCGGGCUUCGGCCUGGCGGCGAGUGGCGAACGGGUGAGUAAUGCAUCGGAACGUGCCCAGUAGUGGGGGAUAGCCCGGCGAAAGCCGGAUUAAUACCGCAUACGACCUGAGGGUGAAAGCGGGGGACCGAAAGGCCUCGCGCUAUUGGAGCGGCCGAUGUCGGAUUAGCUAGUUGGUGGGGUAAAGGCUUACCAAGGCGACGAUCCGUAGCUGGUCUGAGAGGACGACCAGCCACACUGGGACUGAGACACGGCCCAGACUCCUACGGGAGGCAGCAGUGGGGAAUUUUGGACAAAGGGGGCAACCCUGAUCCAGCCAUGCCGCGUGCGGGAAGAAGGCCUUCGGGCUAUAAACCGCUUUUGUUCGGGAAGAAAUCCUCUGGGCUAAUACCCCGGGGGGAUGACGGUACCGGAAGAAUAAGCACCGGCUAACUACGUG
rnacentral:rRNA from 1 species